rnacentral:rRNA from 1 species
GACGAACGCUGGCGGCGCGCCUAACACAUGCAAGUCGAACGAGCGAGCGAGAGCUUGCUUUCUCGAGCGAGUGGCGAACGGGUGAGUAACGCGUGAGGAACCUGCCUCAAAGAGGGGGACAACAGUUGGAAACGACUGCUAAUACCGCAUAAGCCCACGGGUCGGCCUCGACCAGAGGGAAAAGGAGCAAUCCGCUUUGAGAUGGCCUCGCGUCCGAUUAGCUAGUUGGUGAGGUAAUGGCCCACCAAGGCGACGAUCGGUAGCCGGACUGAGAGGUUGAACGGCCACAUUGGGACUGAGACACGGCCCAGACUCCUACGGGAGGCAGCAGAGGGGAAUAUUGCACAAUGGGGGAAACCCUGAUGCAGCGACGCCGCGUGGAGGAAGAAGGUCUUCGGAUUGUAAACUCCUGUUGUUGGGGAAGAUAAUGACGGUACCCAACAAGGAAGUGACGGCUAACUACGUG